rnacentral:rRNA from 1 species
UCGAACGGCAGCGCGGGGCAACCUGGCGGCGAGUGGCGAACGGGUGAGUAAUAUAUCGGAACGUACCCUGGAGUGGGGGAUAACGUAGCGAAAGUUACGCUAAUACCGCAUACGAUCUAAGGAUGAAAGUGGGGGAUGCGCAAGCACCUCAUGCUCCUGGAGCGGCCGAUAUCUGAUUAGCUAGUUGGUGGGGUAAAGGCCUACCAAGGCAUCGAUCAGUAGCUGGUCUGAGAGGACGACCAGCCACACUGGAACUGAGACACGGUCCAGACUCCUACGGGAGGCAGCAGUGGGGAAUUUUGGACAAUGGGCGAAAGCCUGAUCCAGCAAUGCCGCGUGAGUGAAGAAGGCCUUCGGGUUGUAAAGCUCUUUUGUCAGGGAAGAAACGGUGAGGGCUAAUAUCCCUUGCUAAUGACGGUACCUGAAGAAUAAGCACCGGCUAACUACGUGCCAGCAGCCGCGGUAAUACGUAGGGUGCAAGCGUUAAUCGGAAUUACUGGGCGUAAAGCGUGCGCAGGCGGUUUUGUAAGUCUGUCGUGAAAUCCCCGGGCUCAACCUGGGAAUUGCGAUGGAGACUGCAAGGCUAGAAUCUGGCAGAGGGGGGUAGAAUUCCACGUGUAGCAGUGAAAUGCGUAGAGAUGUGGAGGAACACCGAUGGCGAAGGCAGCCCCCUGGGUCAAGAUUGACGCUCAUGCACGAAAGCGUGGGGAGCAAACAGGAUUAGAUACCCUGGUAGUCCACGCCCUAAACGAUGUCUACUAGUUGUCGGGUUUUAAUUAACUUGGUAACGCAGCUAACGCGUGAAGUAGACCGCCUGGGGAGUACGGUCGCAAGAUUAAAACUCAAAGGAAUUGACGGGGACCCGCACAAGCGGUGGAUGAUGUGGAUUAAUUCGAUGCAACGCGAAAAACCUUACCUACCCUUGACAUGUACGGAAGCCACGAGAGAUCGAGGUGUGCUCGAAAGAGAGCCGUAACACAGGUGCUGCAUGGCUGUCGUCAGCUCGUGUCGUGAGAUGUUGGGUUAAGUCCCGCAAC